ensembl:lncRNA
AAAUCGGCUACAAUUUACAGCACAAAACACAUUGUUGGCACAAACUAUGUUUAUAUGAACCUGCAUUUCAUGUCAACAUAUUUUUAAGUUUUUAUAUUUUUAAAUGUAAUUUAAUUUAGUUUACAUUAUUAUCAUUAUUAUUUAUUUUUCAUAGUUUUUGUGAAUUUCACACAGGUUGUUCAUAUUGUAAUAUGCUUAAUUUGCAUAGCCAAACUACACUUUUAAUUUACAAAACUGUGCCAAAACACCAGUUCUGCAUUAACAAGAAAAUUAACUAAUUGGACACUAUUAUAUCUUUAGUAAAAUAACAAUACAAUACUACAAUAGGCACCAUUUUUUGCAUGUCCUCCUGUUUAAUAUAAUGGUGCUGUUACACACAUGGAUGAGAUCAUGCUCCUCAUCAUCUUUAUGUCACACUCAAUAUCGAUACUCUUUUUCUUAUAGUUAUAUCUAUGGACUAUUUGCUUCUCAAUUUCGCUCUUCUUUCAAUAUGUUCUCAUUUGAAUAUCAAGGUUUUAUUACAGCUAUUGUUAGUCUUUCCAUUCUCAUUCACCAAUGAAUGUAACUUGAGGUCAUUUUUAUUACAGAAUUGUCAGGAUAUUGAAAACAGCAAGUCUAAAAGGGAAAUUUUAAUGGCUAAUUUUAUUUCAAUUGUCAUUACCUUUUGUACACUACAUAUAAAUUAUAUGUCACUACAGUAGAGGAUGUUCAUACUGAGACAAUUCACUAUGGACUUGACACAAUCACAGUACAGAUUAUAUUUUCAUAAUAUCACACACUGAGGUCUGACACUGUCUUAAAUAUAUGGGACGAUGGAAGACAAGACACUUAAAUUAUGUGUUGAAACUGUCAAUCAAAUGAGUGCAUUGUGGGUAAGGAAGGGGCUAUAAAAGGAACAAUAGCAAUAUCAUUUAAUUGUUUCUGCUGAAAGGUUAAAAAAAAAUCAUGACAGAAUUAAUGUCUGAACAAUCAGACCUGAAAUGGCAUUACUUUAAACCAGGUGGAUGGAGAGAAAUACAUUUUAAUUAUUAAAUUGAGUUAUACGUUUAGAUUGAAGACAGAGCUUUUUGUUAAACCACUGGCUACAAAACAAGACACUUUAUGAGCUUUGAAUGGACAAACUGUGGCAGCCAAGAACUCAAAAUCCAGCGCUGCCACUUCUCCCUUAAGAGAAAGGAAGAUUAUUUUUGUAGAAGACAAGAGUUUUAUUACUGUAAAGAUUUUAUAAAUAUAUGAAUACAUAAAAAAACUUUUAGGUGUGUAAUGUUUAGUUUCUUUAUUUUUUCUUUCUUUGACCUCAACUCUGUGCUUAUGUGGAAUUGUUUCUGUUUGGUGCAAUCGUAUUUAUUAAAUGAAAACUGUUUUUGUGUUUUGAUUUUCUUACAGUAUUUGUAAAAACAUUAUGUAAUUUGCUGAAGUAACCUUUAAA